CUUCUUUGCAGCCCAAGAUCGAGUGGAUGAAGAAUCAGAUGAUUAUUGGUGACGACCCCAAGUUCAGGCAAAUUAACAACCAGGGCAUCUGCUCCCUAGAGAUCCGCAAGCCCGGCAACUUUGACGGUGGCGUAUACGCCUGCAGGGCCAGGAACCCGCACGGAGAGGCCUUGGUUACCUGCAAACUGGAGGUUAAACAGCCUGUGAUUGCUGAUGCUGAUAAGAAAUAAGUUCAACACCCACAUUCAUACAGUCCCAAAUAAGGCACAGAAAAUGUGGGAUCCCUCUCAAAAGAAUUGUGAAGACGUCUUUUGCUGAUGAGAA